rnacentral:tRNA from 1 species
GGGCAAGUGGCGGAACUGGCAUACGCAUACGGCUUAGGACCGUAUUCCUAAAGGAUUGUGGGUUCAACUCCCACCUUGCCCA